rnacentral:rRNA from 1 species
AGCGGAGGAAAAGAAACCAACAGGGAUUGCCCUAGUAACGGCGAGUGAAGCGGCAACAGCUCAAAUUUGAAAUCUGGCCUCGGCCCGAGUUGUAAUUUGCAGAGGAUGUUUCUGGCGCGGUGCCUUCCGAGUUCCCUGGAACGGGACGCCACAGAGGGUGAGAGCCCCGUAUGGUUGGACACUAAGCCUGUGUGAAACUCCUUCGACGAGUCGAGUAGUUUGGGAAUGCUGCUCAAAAUGGGAGGUAAAUCUCUUCUAAAGCUAAAUACCGGCCAGAGACCGAUAGCGCACAAGUAGAGUGAUCGAAAGAUGAAAAGCACCUUGAAAAGGGGGUUAAACAGUACGUGAAAUUGUUGAAAGGGAAGCGCUUGUGACCAGACUUGCGCCGGGCGGCUCAUCCGGGGUUUUCCCCGGUGCACUCCGCCCGGCUCAGGCCAGCAUCGGUUCUCGUUGGGGGAUAAGAACGGCAGGAACGUGGCCCUCCUUCGGGUGGGUGUUAUAGCCUGCCGUACGAUACCCUGACGGGGACCGAGGUUCGCGCUCCGCAAGGAUGCUGGCGUAAUGGUCAUCAGCGACCCGUCUUGAAACACGGACCAAGGAGUCGUCCAUUAGAGCGAGCGUUUGGGUGUCAAACCCGCACGCGUAAUGAAAGUGAAAUUAGGUGAGAGCUUCGGCGCAUCAUCGACCGAUCCUGAUGUUCUCGGAUGGAUUUGAGUAAGAGUUUUAACGGACGGACCCGAAAGACAGUGAACUAUGCUUGUAUAGGGUGAAGCCAGAGGAAACUCUGGUGGAGGCUCGCAGCGGUUCUGACGUGCAAAUCGAUCGUCAAAUAUGAGCAUGGGGGCGAAAGACUAAUCGAACUG